UACAGAGGGUGCGAGCGUUGUUCGGAAUUAUUGGGCGUAAAGGGCGCGUAGGCGGUGCGGUAAGUCACCUGUGAAAUCUCCUGGCUCAACUGGGAGCUUGCAGGCGAAACUGCCGUGCUGGAGUGUGGGAGAGGUGAGUGGAAUUCCCGGUGUAGUGGUGAAAUGCGUAGAGAUCGGGAGGAAUACCUGUGGCGAAGGCGGCCUACUGGGCCGGACCUGACGCUGAGACGCGAAGGCGUGGGGAGCGAACGGG
rnacentral:rRNA from 1 species